GUUGCUUCAGAGACAUCCAAUAAAAUUAGAACGAUACAAAAAAAAAUUAGCAAAGUCCUUGCGGAAGAAUGACACGCACAAAUCGAGAAAUGGUCAAAAAGUAU
rnacentral:snRNA from 1 species